rnacentral:rRNA from 1 species
UACGAACCGUCCAAACGUUAUUUGGAAUCACUGGGCUUACAGAGUUCGUAGGCGGCGGAGAAAGUAGGGUGUGAAAGCCCUCGCUUAACCGAGGAAUUGCGCCCUAAACUACUUCGCUUGAGGAGGCUAGAGGUGAGCAGAACAGAUGGUGGAGCGGUGAAAUGCGUUGAUAUCAUCUGGAAUACCGGAGGCGAAGGCGGCUCACUGGGACCUUUCUGACGCUAAGGAACGAAAGCUAGGGUAGCGAACGGG